rnacentral:pre_miRNA from 1 species
AGGAGGAGUAGACAUGGCGUGAUAUUGCUUCGGCUCAUCUGUUAUUCAGAAAUCAGAAAAUUCCUGCAAUAUCAUCAAGGCGAGCCGAAUCAAUAUCACUCUUGUAUGCUUCUUU